rnacentral:rRNA from 1 species
CCUACGGGAGGCAGCAGUGAGGAAUAUUGGUCAAUGGGCGCGAGCCUGAACCAGCCAAGUAGCGUGAAGGAUGACUGCACUACGGGUUGUAAACUUCUGUUAUAAAGGAAUAAAGUGAGGCACGUGUGCAUUUUUGUAUGGACUGUAUGAAUAAGGAUAGGCUAACUCCGUGCCAGCAGCCGCGGUAAUACGGAGGAUCCGAUCGUUAUCCGGAUUUAUUGGGUUUAAAGGGAGCGUAGAUGGGUUGUUAAGUCAGUUGUGAAAGUUUGCGGGUCAACCGUAAAAUUGCAAUUGAUACUGGCAGCCUUGAGUACAGUUGAGGUAGGCGGAAUUCGUGGUGUAGCGGUGAAAUGCUUAGAUAUCACGAAGAACUCCGAUUGCGAAGGCAGCUUACUAAACUGCCACUGACAUUGAUGCUCGAAAGUGUGGGUAUCAAACAGGAUUAGAUACCCGGGUAGUC